rnacentral:rRNA from 1 species
CCUACGGGGGGCAGCAGUGGGGAAUAUUGGACAAUGGGCGAAAGCCUGAUCCAGCCAUGCCGCGUGUGUGAAGAAGGCCUUCGGGUUGUAAAGCACUUUCAGUGGGGAAGAAAGCCUUGGGGCUAAUACCCUCGAGGAAGGACAUCACCCACAGAAGAAGCACCGGCUAACUCCGUGCCAGCAGCCGCGGUAAUACGGAGGGUGCGAGCGUUAAUCGGAAUUACUGGGCGUAAAGCGCGCGUAGGCGGUCUGAUAAGCCGGUUGUGAAAGCCCCGGGCUCAACCUGGGAACGGCAUCCGGAACUGUCAGGCUAGAGUGCAGGAGAGGAAGGUAGAAUUCCCGGUGUAGCGGUGAAAUGCGGAGAGAUCGGGAGGAAUACCAGUGGCGAAGGCGGCCUUCUGGACUGAAACUGACGCUGAGGUGCGAAAGCGUGGGUAGCAAACAGGAUUAGAUACCCUAGUAGUC